AAAAUGACUCUCGGCAACGGAUAUCUCGGCUCUCGCAUCGAUGAAGAACGUAGCGAAAUGCGAUACUUGGUGUGAAUUGCAGAAUCCCGUGAACCAUCGAGUCUUUGAACGCAAGUUGCGCCCCAAGCCUUUAGGCCGAGGGCACGUCUGCCUGGGUGUCACGC
rnacentral:rRNA from 1 species